AAUAAACGCUGGCGGCGUGCCUAACACAUGCAAGUCGAACGGGAAAGUGGGGCAACCCGUGAGUAUAGUGGCGUACGGGUGAGUAACACGUGGAUAAUCUACCUUCUAGUGGGGAAUAACCUUGGGAAACUGGGGACAAUACCGCAUAAGCUCGAGAGAGGAAAGCAGCAAUGCGCUGAGGGAGGAGUCCGCGGCCGAUUAGCUAGUUGGCAGGGUAAAAGCCUACCAAGGCAAAGAUCGGUAGCCGGCCUGAGAGGGCACACGGCCACACUGGCACUGAAACACGGGCCAGACUCCUACGGGAGGCAGCAGUGGGGAAUCUUGCACAAUGGGGGAAACCCUGAUGCAGCGACGCCGCGUGAGCGAUGAAGCCCUUCGGGGUGUAAAGCUCUUUCGGCAGGGAAGAUGGUGACGGUACCUGCAGAAGCAGCUGCGGCUAACUACGUGCCAGCAGCCGCGGUAAUACAUAGGCAGCAAGCGUUGUUCGGAGUUACUGGGCGUAAAGGGUGUGUAGGCGGUUGUUUAAGUUUGGUGUGAAAUCUCCCGGCUCAACUGGGAGGGUGCGCCGAAUACUGAAUGACUAGAGUGCGGGAGAGGAAAGUGGAAUUCCUGGUGUAGCGGUGAAAUGCGUAGAUAUCAGGAGGAACACCGGUGGUGUAGACGGCUUUCUGGACCGUAACUGACGCUGAGACACGAAAGCGUGGGUAGCAAACAGGAUUAGAUACCCUGGUAGUCCACGCCCUAAACGAUGCAUAUUUGGUGUGGGCAGUUCAUUCUGUCUGUGCCGGAGCUAACGC
rnacentral:rRNA from 1 species